UGGGGAAUAUUGGACAAUGGGCGCAAGCCUGAUCCAGCCAUGCCGCGUGAGUGAAGAAGGCCUUAGGGUUGUAAAGCUCUUUUGGCGGGGAAGAUAAUGACGGUACCCGCAGAAUAAGCCCCGGCUAACUUCGUGCCAGCAGCCGCGGUAAUACGAAGGGGGCUAGCGUUGUUCGGAAUCACUGGGCGUAAAGCGCACGCAGGCGGAUUGAUAAGUCAGGGGUGAAAUCCCGGGGCUCAACCUCGGAAUUGCCUUUGAUACUGUCUGUCUUCGAGUUCGGGAGAGGUUGGCGGAAUUCCUAGUGUAGAGGUGAAAUUCGUAGAUAUUAGGAAGAACACCAGUGGCGAAGGCGGCCAACUGGCCCGAUACUGACGCUCAUGUGCGAAAGCGUGGGGAGCAAACAGGAUUAGAUACCCCUGUAGUCC
rnacentral:rRNA from 1 species